rnacentral:SRP_RNA from 1 species
CCCGGGUGGAGGCAAGAAAGGGGGUAAAGGCCCCAGUGAUGAGGCUGGGUCAGACCCCCGGCCGGUCCCGAUCCCUGAUGGCUUCCAUGCCAUGCUGAUGACGCACAUCCAGGAGCUGAGCCUGCGGGGCAACCACAUAGACGAUGACCAAGUGGCACUUUUUGCGGCAGGUCUAACAGAGCAUCGAGACCUUCUUAGCCUCAAUCUGUGGGG